AGACUUAUAUAAAGCUGUGAUACUUCCUUUCCUCUCCCAGCCUGAUUUAGAGACUUUUGCUUUCCCAUUAAGAAGCAAUACUGCUGAACUGGUAACAGACUGCUGAAGCUCUAAUACAAAUACACUGUUAUCCAUCAUCAUUACUGCAAAACCCUAGGAGAAUGGCCUCUGAAGAUAUUUGGAGAGAGGAAACCCUGCCUGGAUUUUUUGAAAUUGUUCUUCUUAGUAACAAUCAGCCAAAGGAUAACAAAAUCUACAUUAUGUACCAUGGCACUACAUUGGAUGCAGCCAAACAGAUUAUUCAGAAGGGUUUUAAAAGAUCUGAGGAAAAAGUCAACAUGUUAGGAGCAGGGAUCUAUGUAAGCAGAGAUAUAGAAAAGGCAGGGAGGUACCCGCUUGGUAGUAAACAUAACCAAGUUAUUUUAAAGUUGAGAGUGAAUGUAGGCAAGGUGAAAAAAAUAGAUUGCCAAGGUCAUACUCUGCAGAAGACAUGGCAUGAUUCUGGGUAUGACACUGCCUGGGUGCCUGAGCACUGUGGUAUGGUGGGCAGUGGAUUAGAAGAGGAUUGUGUUUGGGAUCCCAAAAGGAUCAAGGUGGUCGGAGUUGUGAAAGCCCCAGAAGAGGAGGAGGAUAAUCUGAAUGAAUUAGUUAAAAAGUAUAAAAAAUAAAAUCUAUAAAAACAUAUACUGACAGAUGUUACGCUGCACAUUUUCUUAAAACUGUCAUCUGCCAUGUUUUACCAUUAACUUCAUAGUACUCACUCAAUCUAUAUACAUAGCUAAUCAUCACUGAUUCUUACUAAAUCUAUUUCUAGUUUUCUCACAUAAUUGUUAAUGAUUUUAACUUUCUAUACUCUAAUGUAACGAUAAUAAGUUAUGUAACUAACGGUAAUGACCAUAAAGCUUGAAAGAUAUAGUAAAAUCCAGCGAGGACCGAUGGUUGAUUGUAUACCUGCUCUGUAUUCCAUACUGUUUUUUUAUUAAAAAUCUGGCAUCAACCAUA